CCUACGGGAGGCAGCAGUGAGGAAUAUUGGUCAAUGGACGAGAGUCUGAACCAGCCAAGUAGCGUGAAGGAUGACUGCCCUAUGGGUUGUAAACUUCUUUUAUAUGGGAAUAAAACGUUCCACGUGUGGGAUUUUGUAUGUACCAUAUGAAUAAGGAUCGGCUAACUCCGUUCCAGCAGCCGCGGUAAUACGGAGGAUCCGAGCGUUAUCCGGAUUUAUUGGGAUUAAAGGGAGCGUAGGUGGAUUGUUAAGUCAGUUGUGAAAGUUUGCGGCUCAACCGUAAAAUUGCAGUUGAAACUGGCAGUCUUGAGUACAGUAGAGGUGGGCGGAAUUCGUGGUGUAGCGGUGAAAUGCUUAGAUAUCACGAAGAACUCCGAUUGCGAAGGCAGUUCACUGGACUGCAACUGACACUGAGGCUCGAAAGUGUGGGUAUCAAACAGGAUUAGAUACCCUGGUAGUC
rnacentral:rRNA from 1 species